UACGUAGGGUGCAAGCGUUGUCCGGAAUUAUUGGGCGUAAAGAGCUCGUAGGCGGUCUGUCGCGUCGGCUGUGAAAACCCGCGGCUCAACCUCGGGCCUGCAGUCGAUACGGGCAGACUAGAGUGCGGUAGGGGAGACUGGAAUUCCUGGUGUAGCGGUGAAAUGCGCAGAUAUCAGGAGGAACACCGGUGGCGAAGGCGGGUCUCUGGGCCGUAACUGACGCUGAGGAAGCGAAAGCGUGGGGAGCGAACAGG
rnacentral:rRNA from 1 species